GCAAAAAUUAGCUCCAAUGGUAGAGUAUAACCUUGCCCAAGGUUAAUGUUGAGGGUUCGAAUCCCUUUUUUUGCC
rnacentral:tRNA from 1 species